rnacentral:pre_miRNA from 1 species
AAGUUAUGUCCUAAGUUAAACUUCUCUGACUUUGGGCAAGUUUAUAAAAAAAGGUAUAACCAUAUAUAAUACCAAAUAAACACACUAACAAAAACAUAUUCCUUGGAUUUAAUGAAACCAAUUUGAGGUUGUAGAUGUUGGUGCAUUUUUUUAUGAACUUGAUCAAAGUUAAAAGAAGUUUUACUUAGAACAAACUAAA